rnacentral:rRNA from 1 species
AUGGCUCGUGCUGUUGUUCCGUUGAAUUUUAAUGCGUUCCUUGAGAAAGCAAAGUUGAAAGAUGAUGGUAGCAAUUACACGGACUGGGUCCGUAACUUGAGGAUUAUCCUCAUUGCUGCACAGAAGAAUUACGUCCUGGAAGCACCGCUGGGUGCCAAGCCUACUGCUGGAGCAACACCAGAUGUUAUGAACGUCUGGCAGAGCAAAGCUGAUGACUACUCGAUAGUUCAGUGUGCCAUGCUUUACGGCUUAGAAUCGGGACUUCAACGACGUUUUGAACGUCAUGGAAGAUAUGAGAUGUUUCAGGAGUUGAAGUUAAUAUUUCAAGCAAAUGCCCGGAUUGAGAGAUAUGAAGUCUCCAAUAAGUUCUAUAGCUGCAAGAUGGAAGAGAACAGUUCUGUCAGUGAGCAUAUACUCAAAAUGUCUGGGUAUAAUAAUCACUUGAUUCAAUUGGGAGUUAAUCGUCCAGAUGAUUGCGUCAUUGACAGAAUUCUCCAAUCACUGCCACCAAGCUACAAGAGCUUCGUGAUGAACUAUAAUAUGCAAGGGAUGAACAAG